GUCUCAGUUCGGAUGUAGGCUGAAACUCGCCUGCAUGAAGUCGGAAUUGCUAGUAAUCGCGGAUCAGCAUGCCGCGGUGAAUACGUUCCCGGGCCUUGUACACACCGCCCGUCACACCAUGGGAGCCGGUAAUACCCGAAGUCAGUAGUCCAACCUCGUGAGGACGCUGCCGAAGGUAGGAUUGGCGACUGGGGUGAAGUCGUAACAAGGUAGC
rnacentral:rRNA from 1 species